AUUUAUUUGGCAAUGGCUCCUGACAGGUGUUGGCUAAACAAAGAGCUGCAGCUGGGUCGCGCUGCUCGUCAAGCGCUUGUCCGGCAGUUAGCAAAUUAUUGAUUCUUCAUCGGACCAAGGCCGAUUUGUCCAGGACCAAUUUUCGGAUCUCCUGGGCUACCUGGAACAAGGACUAGUGAUUGUUUCGAGGAGCUGUCAUGGUGUUGGCUCUUGAUAUUUUAUCGUGAAACGCAGAUUUAAUGAUGACGGCGCGUCGGAACCCAAACGUCAAGAAUCGCCGACGUUCACGGAAGCAGCUACAAUGAGCGGAGAAUCUGAGAGCCAGGAAUGCGGAGCACCUAGCUACUACUGAAAUGGAGGACCCGGACCUGUUAGCGACAUGGAACUGACCAGGACCGUCGUGGGCUCCUCAUGUGCCACCCCCGGAUACCUUUUCUGAUUGUGGUGUUUACAGUACAGUGUACAUAUUCAUGAAAAAAAAAAUUGUAGGUACUUUUUUACAUUUUUAAAAAACGCACUCUGCAUGGUUUUGGAGUUUCGACAUGGGUUGUGGUCGUGCUAGAUAAAAACCCCCAGGCAAGAGCAAACAAUUUUUUUUGUGACCCACUGCAAAGGCCUCUCUUUUCUUCCGCCACCCAUCACGUUUUGCCGCCUGCUUCGGCUAGCCGCUGCAAAAUACGUCGAGGUCAUCUCGCCUCGUUUUUUUUGGUCUACCUCUGCCCCGACUAGUCGGUGGUGUCCAGUUAGCAAACUAUACACCCUGUUUUUAUUUUAAAUUAUAUGUGUUGUAUUCUUUUCUUGUACAAUAAAGUGUUUACUUACUUACUUUUUUGAAUUCCGUUAACUUUAAGGGAAGGUUCUUUAGAUUAAAUACGAUUAAUUUCUCAAAAAAGCUAGCGUCUUGACUGUUACGUUUACCGAGUUUGAAAAAAUAAUAGUUAUUUGUUUUACAAGGGGGCAAAGUAGUUGUUUAACUGGACGUGCCAAUAUUGAUACCUGAGCAAGGGAAAGAUUUCAAUAUUGAACCGCGAGCGUAGCGAGUGG